rnacentral:tRNA from 1 species
GCGCAGUUGGUGUAAACGGUAGCAUACCGCAUGAUUGUUCAGCGGACGACCCAGGUUCGAGUCCUGGACUGCGCA